rnacentral:rRNA from 1 species
AGUGAACGCUGGCGGUAGGCCUAACACAUGCAAGUCGAACGGCAGCACAGUAAGAGCUUGCUCUUACGGGUGGCGAGUGGCGGACGGGUGAGGAAUACAUCGGAAUCUACUUUUUCGUGGGGGAUAACGUAGGAAACUUACGCUAAUACCGCAUACGACCUACGGGUGAAAGCAGGGGAUCUUCGGACCUUGCGCGAUUGAAUGAGCCGAUGUCGGAUUAGCUAGUUGGCGGGGUAAAGGCCCACCAAGGCGACGAUCCGUAGCUGGUCUGAGAGGAUGAUCAGCCACACUGGAACUGAGACACGGUCCAGACUCCUACGGGAGGCAGCAGUGGGGAAUAUUGGACAAAGGGCGCAAGCCUGAUCCAGCCAUACCGCGUGGGUGAAGAAGGCCUUCGGGUUGUAAAGCCCUUUUGUUGGGAAAGAAAAGCAGCAGGUUAAUACCCCGCUGUUCUGACGGUACCCAAAGAAUAAGCACCGGCUAACUUCGUG